rnacentral:tRNA from 1 species
GCCUGGGUGGCUCAGUAAGUUAAGCGUCUGACUCUGGAUCUCAAUUUAGGACUUGAUCUCAGGGUUGUGAGUUCAAGCCCCACCUUGGGCU